rnacentral:pre_miRNA from 10 species
GUAUAUAUUACUCUGCUGCUGCCCGAGCUGUGGAGUGUGACAAUGGUGUUUGUGUCCUGGCUAUCAAACGCCAUUAUCACACUAAAUAGCUACUGGUAGACAAGACAUCAAUUCAGAA